rnacentral:rRNA from 1 species
CGAAAGCCUGACGGAGCAAUACCGCGUGAGGGAGGAAAGCCUUUGGGUUGUAAACCCCUUUUCUCAGGGAAGAAGAAAGUGACGGUACCUGAGGAAUCAGCAUCGGCUAACUCCGUGCCAGCAGCCGCGGUAAUACGGAGGAGGCAAGCGUUAUCCGGAAUGAUUGGGCGUAAAGCGUCCGCAGGCGGCUAAUCAAGUCUGCUGUUAAAGGCCGAGGCUUAACCUCGGUUGAGCAGUGGAAACUGAUGAACUAGAGUGCGAUAGGGGUAGAGGGAAUUCCCAGUGUAGCGGUGAAAUGCGUAGAUAUUGGGAAGAACACCAGUGGCGAAGGCGCUCUACUGGGUCGCAACUGACGCUCAGGGACGAAAGCUAGGGGAGCG